UAGUAAGCUCUUGAAACUGGGAGACUUGAGUGCAGGAGAGGAGAGUGGAAUUCCUAGUGUAGCGGUGAAAUGCGUAGAUAUUAGGAGGAACACCAGUUGCGAAGGCGGCUCUCUGGACUGUAACUGACGCUGAGGCACGAAAGCGUGGGGAGCAAACAGGAUUAGAUCCCCUGGUAGUCCACGCUGUAAACGAUGAGUACUAGGUGUCGGGGGUUACCCCCUUCGGUGCCGCAGCUAACGCAUUAAGUACUCCGCCUGGGAAGUACGC
rnacentral:rRNA from 1 species